AGUGAACGCUGGCGGUAGGCCUAACACAUGCAAGUCGAACGGCAGCACAGUAAGAGCUUGCGCUUACGGGUGGCGAGUGGCGGGCGGGAGAGGAAUACAUCGGAAUCUACUUUUUCGUGGGGGUUAACGUAGGGAAGGCUACGCCCAUACCGCAUCCGACCUACCGUUGAAAGCAGGGGAACUUCGCACCUUGCGCGGUUGGAUGCGCCGAUGUUGAACGAGCUAGUUGGCGGGGUAAAGGCCCACCCAGUGGGCGAUUCGUAGCCGGACUGAGAGGAUGAUAAGCCACACUGGAACGGAGACGCGGUCCUGGGUCCUACGGGAGGCAGCAGUGGGGAAUAGUGGACAAUGGGCGCGAGCCUGAUCCAGCCAUACCGCGUGGGUGGAGAAGGCGUUGGGGUUGUAAAGCCGUUUUGUGGGGAAAGAAAAGCAGCAGGUUAAUACGCCGCGGUUCUGACGGUACUGAAAGAAGAAGCACCGGCUAACUUCGUG
rnacentral:rRNA from 1 species